GCGGGAAGAGCUCAAAUUUGAAAUCUGGUGGCCUCAGGUCAUCCGAGUUGUAAUCUAUAGAAGUGUUUUCCGUGCUGGCUCAUGUACAAGUCCCUUGGAACAGGGCGUCAUAGAGGGUGAGAAUCCCGUCCUUGACAUGAACUACCAGUGCUCUGUGAUACAUUUUCAACGAGUCGAGUUGUUUGGGAAUGCAGCUCAAAAUGGGUGGUAAAUUCCAUCUAAAGCUAAAUAUUGGCGAGAGACCGAUAGCGAACAAGUACCGUGAGGGAAAGAUGAAAAGCACUUUGGAAAGAGAGUUAAACAGUAUGUGAAAUUGUUGAAAGGGAAACGAUUGAAGUCAGUCGUGCUCUUUGGAUUCAGCCGGUUCUGCCGGUGUACUUCCUUUGAGUGGGGUCAACAUCAGUUUUGAUCGCUGGAUAAAGGCGGGAGGAAUGUAGUACCCUCGGGUAAACUUAUAGCCUCUUGUCACAUACAGUGGUUGGGACUGAGGAACGCAGCAUGCCUUUAUGGCCGGGAUUCGUCCACGUACAUGCUUAGGAUGUUGACAUAAUGGCUUUAAACGACCCGUCUUG
rnacentral:rRNA from 1 species